rnacentral:lncRNA from 1 species
GUUUUCUUCUUUUUAAUGAUUCUAUGGAAUAUUUGUUUUGUGUCUUGGGAGGAUCAACUAUAGGGGCAUCUGACGAGCUAAUAGUUUCAGAAAAGUUAAAUAGAUCAGGAUCAGAGGUUGCACAAUGUGAUGAUGCUUUGAGACUGGAAGAAGAUUAUGGCUGUGUUAAAACAAUGCCUCAGGGUGAAGGUGAGGGACCCAAAAAUGACAGAAUAAAUGCUGAUAUUACCUAUGGGAUCCAUGGCUGCAACGAUGAGCUGAUUGAACCUUCCAGUGGAGCUAUUGACUUGAUUGGCACAUUUGAUAAUCAUCAAGAGGUCCCUGAUAAAUUAUCCACUCCAAAUGAUGGCAUCCCGGAUAAACUAU